AACGAACGCUGGCGGCGUGCUUAACACAUGCAAGUCGAACGAUGAAGCCGGAGCUUGCUCCGGUGGAUUAGUGGCGAACGGGUGAGUAACACGUGAGCAAUCUGCCCUUGACUCUGGGAUAACUGCGGGAAACUGUAGCUAAUACCGGAUACGACACCUUGGGGCAUCCCAGGGUGUGGAAAGAAUUUCGGUCAAGGAUGAGCUCGCGGCCUUUCAGCUAGUUGGUGAGGUAAUGGCUCACCAAGGCGACGACGGGUAGCCGGCCUGAGAGGGUGACCGGCCACACUGGAACUGAGACACGGUCCAGACUCAUACGGGUGGCAGCAGUGGGGAAUAUUGCACAAUGGGCGAAAGCCUGAUGCAGCAACGCCGCGUGAGGGAUGAAGGCCUUCGGGUUGUAAACCUCUUUUAGCAGGGAAGAAGCGAAAGUGACGGUACCUGCAGAAAAAGCACCGGCUAACUACGUGCCAGCCGCCGCAGUAA
rnacentral:rRNA from 1 species